AUUGGGCUGGGCCUUGCAGAUAUUAAUUAGGCCCAUUCGUCCUUAUUCACCGAACCUUUUACUCCGGAAUUUUCCAAACGAAAGGGUAAAAAAGGAAACAACAGAAGAGUAACAAGAGAAAAGGAAACUUGAGUUGAAAGAAAGGAAAUUACACAGAAGAUGGGUCUACAAAAUAUAGUCUCAUCAUCACAAUUCACAAAUCAGAGAAAGACAGAGUUAUAGAGCGAGAAUUGCAAAUACAAAGUCUGAUUUUAUAGCAUGAUCUUCUUCGAUUCCUGCUUCCUUU